UACGGGGGGGGCAAGCGUUGUUCGGAAUUACUGGGCGUAAAGGGCGAGUAGGUGGCCAUCUAAGUCAGACGUGAAAUCCCCCGGCUUAACCGGGGAACUGCGUCCGAUACUGGAUGGCUUGAGUUUGGGAGAGGGAUGCGGAAUUCCAGGUGUAGCGGUGAAAUGCGUAGAUAUCUGGAGGAACACCGGUGGCGAAGGCGGCAUCCUGGACCAACACUGACACUGAGGAGCGAAAGCCAGGGGAGCAAACGGG
rnacentral:rRNA from 1 species